rnacentral:rRNA from 1 species
AUUGAACGCUGGCGGCAGGCCUAACACAUGCAAGUCGAGCGGAUGAAGGGAGCUUGCUCCUGGAUUCAGCGGCGGACGGGUGAGUAAUGCCUAGGAAUCUGCCUGGUAGUGGGGGAUAACGUCCGGAAACGGGCGCUAAUACCGCAUACGUCCUGAGGGAGAAAGUGGGGGAUCUUCGGACCUCACGCUAUUAGAUGAGCCUAGGUCGGAUUAGCUAGUUGGUGGGGUAAAGGCCUACCAAGGCGACGAUCCGUAACUGGUCUGAGAGGAUGAUCAGUCACACUGGAACUGAGACACGGUCCAGACUCCUACGGGAGGCAGCAGUGGGGAAUAUUGGACAAUGGGCGAAAGCCUGAUCCAGCAAUGCCGCGUGUGUGAAGAAGGUCUUCGGAUUGUAAAGCACUUUAAGUUGGGAGGAAGAGCAGUAAGUUAAUACCUUGCUGUUUUGACGUUACCAACAGAAUAAGCCCCGGCUAACUUCGUG